rnacentral:rRNA from 1 species
GACGAACGCUGGCGGCGUGCCUAAUACAUGCAAGUAGAACGCUGAAGAGAGGAGCUUGCUCUUCUUGGAUGAGUUGCGAACGGGUGAGUAACGCGUAGGUAACCUGCCUGUAGCGGGGGAUAACUAUUGGAAACGAUAGCUAAUACCGCAUAACAAUGGAUGACACAUGUCAUUUAUUUGAAAGGGGCAAUUGCUCCACUACAAGAUGGACCUGCGUUGUAUUAGCUAGUAGGUGAGGUAAUGGCUCACCUAGGCGACGAUACAUAGCCGACCUGAGAGGGUGAUCGGCCACACUGGGACUGAGACACGGCCCAGACUCCUACGGGAGGCAGCAGUAGGGAAUCUUCGGCAAUGGGGGCAACCCUGACCGAGCAACGCCGCGUGAGUGAAGAAGGUUUUCGGAUCGUAAAGCUCGGUUGUAAGUCAAGAACGGGUGUGAGAGUGGAAAGUUCACACUGUGACGGUAGCUUACCAGAAAGGGACGGCUAACUACGUG